AAAUCUGCCUCCCUCUUGUAGCCUCCCAGGAGCCAGUGUGGGUGGAGGUGAUGGUGGAGAUCUUGCUGUCCUUGCUGGCUCAACCCAGUAACCUGAUGCGCCAGGUGGUCCGGAGUGUUUUUGGUCAUGUCUGUUCCCACCUGACUCCACGUGGGCUACAGCUAAUCCUGGCUGUGCUCAACCCUGAGACAAAUGAGGAUGAGGAGGACAACGUGGUGGUCACUGACACUGACGAGAAGCAGCUGAAACAUGGAGAGGACGCAGACUCAGACAGUGAGGACAGUAAGAACUCAGAGAGUGACGUGGAUAGUGAGGAUGGGGAAGAAAGUGAAGAGGAGGACCGUGAUAAGGAUGUGGACCCAGGCUUCCGACAACAGCUGAUGGAAGUGUUGCAAGCUGGGAAUGCACUGGGUGGAGAGGAGGAGGAGGAGGAAGAGCUUGGGGAUGAGGCCAUGAUGGCCCUGGACCAGAACCUGGCCAGCCUAUUUGCAGAGCAGAAGAUGCGUAUCCAGGCCCGGCAUGAGGAGAAAAACAAGCUGCAGAAGGAGAAGCAGCUCCGACGAGACUUCCAGAUCAGGGCACUAGACCUGAUUGAGGUGCUGGUGACCAAGCAGCCUGAGCACCCCCUGAUCCUGGAACUUCUUGA
rnacentral:lncRNA from 1 species